UAUCCUUAUUUCUAUCGUAAAAUAAACUACCAUAGUUUCGUUUUGUGCUCAAUUUAAAGCUUGUUUUUUCAUCUUUCGAAUGAAGGGUUUCUUGAAAAUUUUGAACUAAGGUUAAUCGCAAUAAAAAGAAUUUAGUACAAGCGCUCGUUUUUAGAUGCUUUGAAAUAUUAAUCUUCGAAGUCCCUUGGGGACUUAAUUAAAGGUAGUUUGCUAAAAUUCAGAACGUUGUUGUUUAAAACUUUACAAUCGCCAUUCAUAAUGCCAAAGCAAACAAUUCCGGAAAGAACAUUCAUUGUUGAAAAGUAUUUCGAAACAAAAAGCGUUGUUGCAAUGUUAAUAAGACAAUUUCAAAUAGCUUUUCCAGGACGUAAUCUUCAUCGAGCGUUUGGCGUAAUGUCAACAAAUACCGGCUACAUGCAUUGAAUGGAAGAACCACCCCAUAAAGUUUAAAUCGAAAUAAAGGAAACUCGGGAAGAAGAAGAGUUGUCUUGGAUAUGAGACAAAGAACGAACUUGUGUGAACUUAGAAAUGGAGGCCACGUUGAGUAAAUGUGUACUUCCAA